rnacentral:rRNA from 1 species
CCUACGGGUGGCAGCAGUCGAGAAUCAUUCACAAUGGAGGAAACUCUGAUGGUGCGACGCAGCGUGGAGGAAUGAAGGUCUUCGGAUUGUAAACCCCUGUCAUGUGGGGGCAAAUUAAAAAGAUAGUACCACAAGAGGAAGAGACGGCUAACUCUGUGCCAGCAGCCGCGGUAAUACAGAGGUCUCAAGCGUUGUUCGGAAUCACUGGGCGUAAAGCGUGCGGAGGCUGUUUCGUAAGUCGGGUGUGAAAGGCGCGGGCUCAACCCGCGGACGGCACAUGAUACUGCGAGGCUAGAGUAAUGGAGGGGGAAGCGGAAUUCUUGGUGUAGCAGUGAAAUGCGUAGAUAUCGAGAGGAACACUCGUGGCGAAGGCGGGUUCCUGGACAUUAACUGACGCUGAGGCACGAAGGCCAGGGGAGCGAAAGGGAUUAGAUACCCCUGUAGUC